AAUCGACAUUUGCGAGAGAUUGACAGUUAUCAAUCGAGACCAGUUUUCAUCGAUAUACGUAGCGUGCAGAUCGUGCCAACUCGUCUCGUGUCUUUCGUCUCGUCACGUCUCAUUCUCGUUUCAUCGACGUUGUCUUGAACUACUCGCGAUUUGGCAUGAAGCGAGAAAUGGAAAGGGCGAGAGGGAGAUAGUGAGGAUGCGAAACGAUCAAAUCUGUGACGAAGAGAUUGAAAAAAAUAUGAACAACUGAUUAAUAAUUUGAUUCGGAAUGAUAGGAAAGUUGAAUAAAAAGUCACGAGUUUUGAUGGGGAUCCAAAGAGCAUCAGCUCUCUGAAGCUUGCAGACGAAAAAGACGGGGAAAAAUGAAGGAGACAAAGAGUGGAAGGAGGGAGAUUGAGAGAGGACGAGAAGAAGAGAGACGGAGAACGGAACGAGCGGCCCGUUUCAUUUAUUCAAAUGGGAAUCGAGUGAUCGAAUUAUUUCCGGAUGAAUGUUGCAUUCGCAAAUCAAUUUUCACCUAUAUUUCGGUCCUCAUUUUCGCUGCAGAGCUCCCCAAGCUCCCCGGAGGAUGGACGGAGACCUCUGGGAAAUAGCUGCGUUGGGAAGCCAACUGGGAAUGAUUCGCAAGCUCCGCGUUACUAUAGGAAACGUCUUCCUAAGAUCUUCUCGAUCCCCUGGCGUCCUCUGGCCCUCACCUAAUAUUUCAACGAGUGGCUUUCGAGCUCCGGUUUCUCAGAAUCGAUAUCUCGCACAGAAUUCCAUAAAAUUAUGACGGAGAAAUCAAAUUUUUGGAGCAGGACGUAAAAUAAUGUGAUUUGAGCUCAAAAUUAUACGAUUUUUAUUUCGUCAGGACGACUCGCGGGCGAAUAGUUUCAAAAAAUAAUUUCUCGGGGUGCCGAUACGAAAAUAUUCGCACGUCAAAAAAUGCCGAAAUAAUUUUUCCGCUCAUUAAACAAAAAUGUUAUUAGAAGUUGACAUUUUUUAAAAUGUCGCUCUUCACACGAAAUUUCCCGGCGUCGCACUGAACGGCACGAACGGUUAUUCCGGACGCGUCUGGGACUCGCGACGAGAGACGUGCGCGGUUACGUUUCGUAUAUCAAUGUAUAUAGAGGUCCACUUAUUUGUUGCCCGAAAAACGUGAGUCUCGACUCCUUGGAAUUCCGGAAUUUCCUUGUGUACUCCCGCAAGCUUGUAGCUUCGAAUUCCACUUAUUCUCGUGUCGUCCCUCUCACUUCUUCUCUCUCUCUAUCUUUUCCCAUAGUACAUAUUAAGCCUGAUGAAUAUUUGAAGCGGCAGGAGAUAAAUAAAUGAUCUCGUUUCGUCUCAAUGAAAUUCUCCAACUUGGCAGUAUUGGAAUGAAUUGUUUUUAUGAGCGAAGAGAUUGCACAGGAAAAUCGUUGAAUACACAGAAAUUUCAUUCGGUUCAAAACGUGAUGAGAC